rnacentral:lncRNA from 1 species
GAUAUUUGUGUCAGGUUAAAUAUGCUAAUUUAGGCUCAUUUUUUAAAUAAUGAAAUUUAUUGAAAGUUUGAAUUUGAGUCUGAAUAUGUUGAGAUAUUAGGAAUGCUUUCCUUAUAUCAUUCUUUCCUUAUACCAUUCAAUGUUGAGAUAUUAGAAAUGUUUAGAUAUUAGGAAAGUUGAGAUAUUAGGAAUGUUGAGAUAUUAGGAAAGUUGAGAUAUUAGGAUAUUACUUGUUCUUUCCUUAUAUCAUUCUUUCCUUGUAUCAUUCUUUCCCAUUCUUAGAAUGGUG